GAAAUGCGAUACGUGAUGCGAAUCGCAGAGAUGGCGAGUCAUCCAACCUUCGAACGCACCCUGCGCUUUCAGUACUCCUGAAAGCACGUUCGUCCGAGCGUUGCCCUUUCUUUCUUUUAUUAUAUUAUAUGUAUAAUAAAGACUUUGGGUUGUAUCGUCUGUUAAAAGGCGUCACCUUGAAUAAAUUUAAUACUCAUAAUACUUCAUUAAUAUUAUGUUUGUCAGUAUCGAGAAAUUGAAUUUUCUCUUCUGACUUUAAAAACAUAAAUAAAAGAAGUAUUUUCAAUGGAACAACCUCGGAUCGAGCGUCAUAACCCGCCGAACUUAA
rnacentral:misc_RNA from 1 species